CGAGAAGACCCCCCAAUUGCCCCUCUCCCUUCUCGCUCACUCUGAGUCUCACUCUCACUGCCAAAAUCCCUAAUUUCAAAGGUGGCAGCUUUGGAGAGGAGCGGAAGAAUGAGCGGAGCCCUCGGAAGCGGCGGAGGAAGGAGGCAGUGGAGCUGUGUCUGAGGUUGAUGUGCAUGGCUUCUUCUCACUGUUUCGGUGUCUCUGUCACUCUCAGUCUCAGCCGCCGUCACUCUUCUCCUCACUGUCUCUGUGCUCGUCGUGAAGCCCACCUCUGUGCUCGCCGUCGUCGGCCGCCUCUUUCUCGUCAUCAAAAUGCCUUUGUCUUCGAGCCACCUCUCUCUCUCUUUGUGUGUCGGGCACCACGCUCUGCGAAGUGCGAAUGUACCCGUGCCGCGUUGGACUCUUCACCGUCGCCGUGAGUUCUUCAAUCCUCGUCGUUCCUCAACAUCUUCGCCGUCGCCGCCCCUCCAAAAGCAAGUGUAUGUUGUUGCCAAGAAUGUCGUUAGAGGUAAAGGAAUUGCUCUCAGAUGAUGAACUUAAAUAGGAGAAUUAUGCAGCACCAACACCAGUUUGUUGUUGUGCAAGAGCCAAGAAGUCAUAGAUUGAAAGAGAAUUUGAAAAUACAAUAGAAAAUUGAUUUAAUUAUGAUAUGUAUGACUCUUUUACACUGAAAUGUACAAAUAAUAAUACCUAGUUACUGCUUUAGUUUUUAUAAUA